rnacentral:rRNA from 1 species
UGUUGCAUGGCUGUCGUCAGCUCGUGUCGUGAGAUGUUGGGUUAAGUCCCGCAACGAGCGCAACCCUCAUCCUUAGUUACCAUCAGGUCAUGCUGGGGACUUUAAGGAAACUGCCAGUGAUAAACUGGAGGAAGGUGGGGAUGAUGUCAAGUCAUCAUGGCCCUUAUGGAGUGGGCUACACACGUGCUACAAUGGUGGCUACAAUGGGCUGCAAAGUCGCAAGGCUGAGCUAAUCCUUAAAAGCCAUCUCAGUUCGGAUUGUACUCUGCAACUCGAGUGCAUGAAGUUGGAAUCGCUAGUAAUCGUGGAUCAGCACGCCACGGUGAAUACGUUCUCGGGUC